UGAACGAGAAAUUACCUCCCCAGAGCCAUGCCGGCCGGGCGAGGGUCGACCUCCAGAGUCCUGUCGGCAGCUCACUGCAGGGAGGGUGAGGAAACAAGUACCCCGAGUGCGUACGGUUUGCCCUCCGUAAAUCUUGACCGAUUUCUGCGGAAUCUCCAAAAGUUACAUCUUCAGAAUCUUGUUGGGAUAUUUUUUCCUUUAAUACUGUUUUAAAGGAGCUGAGACUUUUGUUUGUUUGUUUUGUUUUCCUUGCUGUCUCCUGCUCCUGCCCGAGCAGCACUGAAAAUAGGAUGCUCACCCCUUCUCAAGUGAGUCAGUAGACACUUCUGCAGCUGUUGGAAAUACAGAUGGAUUUUCUUCUCACGUUAGUAUUUCCAAAACUCCAAAAGGCAUCUGACUAAACAGGACCCUGUUCCUUCACAUGUACUAUGAUCCCAAGACUACGGGAGUGCCCAUGGAAAAGUUGCAUUGGUGAAGCACAGCACAGAGCCCCUAGUCCACCUUGCAGCUUCUGACUGCACUCUCCCUGCACAAGGUGAAUAGUCUCCCAUCUGCAGCUUCAAACUUGCAGGCCUGUAUUUCCCUGCAGGUGAACUGGUGACAGUACCUAGGAAAGAUAAAUUUUUCAGAAGACAUGGGUAAAUUGCACUGGUGUAAACUUCAUAGCUCUUCUGCUUGCAUGCCAUGAAAUGCUGUGCCAUUACAACUACAUCAGAAACUGUUGCUCACUUCUGAAUUCCCAGCACAGAAAUGCUGGUGCUGAAGCAGGGAGCAAGCAGUCCAUCAGGUUGAACAGGAAAUGUGGGACUACCUUUCCAACUGGCCAUCCAAUUUUAUCCUAGAUUACAAUGACCAUGUACAACAAAGCAGCAUACACUGGGGCCCUGAAGGUAAGAGGAAAGGAGAAAAGCAGGGACAACGUGUCCACCUGACUGUGGGAACUCUUUAGCCAGAACUCUUUAGCUUUUUCUCCCAAGCAUGCACACUAUGCGUUUUCCUUCUGAGCCCGAGUCAUGUGAUGAGCGUCAGAGCAGCACUGGCUCCUGCUUAAUGACCUCCAUUCCAGCUGCUC